CGUCACUUUAUCCUGUUCCUUCUUAACCUAUCUCUUCAGGGCUUCUAUGACCUUUUCGUGAGCCUCAUUGGCCUUAAUUGUCUUCUGCAGCCUCGGCUUCAAUUCUUUAUUCUUUUUAACCCAUAUAUGUAGGUCGAAGAUUUUUAUUUUUUGUUCAUUAAUCUUUCAUUGAAGAUUCAGGAGAUUCUGGUUCUUUUCCUUCAAUAAUGUCAGCUUCUCUUCGAGCUGAAUUUUGAGUCCUUCAGUGCGUUCAGAUUCCUUCUCAGCUUUUUUUUUAGCAGCCUUCUUCUUCUCUUGGAGGAUUAUCAAGUUGGCAUCCAUGGCCUCCUUAUUUUUUAGCAAAUAGGCCAUAUUUUCAUACAUAAC
rnacentral:lncRNA from 1 species